rnacentral:rRNA from 1 species
AACGAACGCUGGCGGCAUGCCUAACACAUGCAAGUCGAACGAGACCUUCGGGUCUAGUGGCGCACGGGUGCGUAACGCGUGGGAAUCUGCCCUGGGGUGCGGAAUAACUCGGAGAAAUCCGUGCUAAUACCGCAUAAUGUCUUCGGACCAAAGAUUUAUCGCCCUGGGAUGAGCCCGCGUAGGAUUAGCUAGUUGGUGGGUAAAGGCCUACCAAGGCGACGAUCCUUAGCUGGUCUGAGAGGAUGAUCAGCCACACUGGGACUGAGACACGGCCCAGACUCCUACGGGAGGCAGCAGUGGGGAAUAUUGGACAAUGGGCGAAAGCCUGAUCCAGCAAUGCCGCGUGAGUGAUGAAGGCCCUAGGGUUGUAAAGCUCUUUUACCCGGGAUGAUAAUGACAGUACCGGGAGAAUAAGCUCCGGCUAACUCCGUGCCAGCAGCCGCGGU